UGGGGAAUAUUGGACAAUGGGCGCAAGCCUGAUCCAGCCAUACCGCGUGGGUGAAGAAGGCCUUCGGGUUGUAAAGCCCUUUUGUUGGGAAAGAAAUCCUGCCGGUUAAUAACCAGUAGGGAUGACGGUACCCAAAGAAUAAGCACCGGCUAACUUCGUGCCAGCAGCCGCGGUAAUACGAAGGGUGCAAGCGUUACUCGGAAUUACUGGGCGUAAAGCGUGCGUAGGUGGUUGUUUAAGUCUGCUGUGAAAGCCCUGGGCUCAACCUGGGAAUUGCAGUGGAUACUGGGCGACUAGAGUGUGGUAGAGGAUAGUGGAAUUUCCGGUGUAGCAGUGAAAUGCGUAGAGAUCGGAAGGAACAUCUGUGGCGAAGGCGACUAUCUGGGCCAACACUGACACUGAGGCACGAAAGCGUGGGGAGCAAACA
rnacentral:rRNA from 1 species